GGAAAAGGCUGCCUUUAUUAUUUGGACUUCUAAUUCAGCUCAAGUUCCUAAUUCAUUCCAGAUAAACCAUCACUUCUGGAAGAGAUUCGUAUCCAGAAACAGGUGUUUACUGACAGGCUGAAUAAGAUAUCUGAAGAGCUGAAGGAGAGGGCCUGCAACAAGACCUGUGACCUAGACUCCACACUAGAAGUCAUCAACUGUGCCAACUGCAAGAUACAUUCCCUUGUCUGCAAAGACCCCACUCUCUGCCCAGAUGGUACAUUUUCUGGCGUGAGAAGAGAAAGGAAGCAGAAAAGGUGCUGGGAAAGGAGACCCCUGCCAGAAUGUAGGUCUCCCGAGGAGGGAAAGCUGCAAGUAGCAAGGAACUCAGCAGUUCAGUGUUCUGAACAGAGAUCACCCAGUCGCUGCCAGGAAGCUAUCUCAUCUCUGAGUUCCAGUAACUGUCCUUUCCCUGACCCCCUCCAAUCUGGGGUGGUAGCAGUUAUGUGGCAAAGAGACCACACUCUGUCUUGUGGCUUCCCUAUACCCAGUCCUUGCAAAUACUUUUCAUUAAAACACCUUCCUCCCAUUCUGAUGGGCUGUAGCAUCUGCUUCCUGCCUGGAAAGACACAGCUGGCACCGAGAUCCUCCCGACACUGUCAUAAAGGGGCUCAUUCCCUCUUUUCACCCUCCCUCUGCUGGCCCACCACCCUUCCUGUCCUAAAGUGCCCCUCUCCUACUGCUCUGGCCCCAGCACUGGUAUCUCCACAGGCUCAGUCUGGCCUCAUCUACUUCCAGCACCAGAGAUGAAGACAGAGAUGGCUUGGGUCCCUAUGUCCAGGUAUUGAACAGAGACAGUGAGAGGCCAGCUCAUAGCUCAGGGACUGGCAGAGGAACAGACACCAGAAAACAGACUUCAAAUCACAUUAAUGGCAGACUUUUCUCCAUCCUGGCCAAGAUGUCCACCCUAGGAACACCCAGGUCCCCGGUGAAUCUGGUACUGCUAGCAAUGACACUUCCUUGACUCUGCCUCUGGUAGUGGAGUGGAGGAGGGGAGGGAGGGCAGGGGUUUGCCUCCUCCUCCUCCUCCAUCCCUAUGUCCUUUUCCUUGUCUGAACCCAAGGCUGCCAGAUUAAAUGGAACUUCUGAGUCCUCCAGGCACAGCUCUUCCCUUUCCCCUCAACCUUGUGCCCUUCCUCACUGGUACUCCCAGACUCUUGUCCUUGGAUCAGGCUCUGCUCUGAUGGGACCUAUCCAACAGCUUUGCAGCCACUGUCAGGACCAGAGCCCUGGUCAGCAGGUCAAACCCUGGGUGCUGAAAAGAAGCAAGUCUGGGACCAGAGCUAAGGACCAGUAUCCCAGAACCUGGACUCGAGUCCUGGUUCUGAUGCUAAGGUUGUAGGCUCCCCCUUGUGAAUCUGUUCCCCCAUCUGAGCAUGCAGGGAGGAUGUCAAACUUCAACCAGGUUGGUGUGCCCUGACCCUGCAGCCCCACUAGGUUCACAUUUGCCAUCUUACAUUUGCUCAUGCUAUAGGUCAAAAUGUAAUGUUCUCAUCCCUUUCCCUCACCUCCAGUCCCUUGAAA
ensembl:lncRNA